AGCACUUGGAAAUCUUGUUAAAAUGCAAGUUCUGAUUUAGUAGGUCGGGGUGGGGCCUAAGAUUCUGCAUUUCUAACAAGUUCCCAGGUGAGGCCGA
rnacentral:pre_miRNA from 1 species